UGCCCAGCAACUCCUACCCUUACAUCCUCGUGGUACUGGCCGGGGUUCGAGUAACUGUAGGGAAUAUCGGGUAACCAUCCCCGGUGGGAUCUUUGGUCGUAUGCUGACAGGAAAGG
rnacentral:ribozyme from 1 species